UACGUAGGCAGCGAGCGUUGUUCGGAGUUACUGGGCGUAAAGGGUGCGUAGGCGGGCGCGACAAGUUGGGUGUGAAAUCCCUCGGCUCAACCGAGGAACUGCGCCCAAAACUGUCGUGCUCGAGGGAGACAGAGGUGAGCGGAACUUAGGGUGGAGCGGUGAAAUGCGUUGAUAUCCUAAGGAACACCGGUGGCGAAAGCGGCUCACUGGGUGCUCUUCUGACGCUGAGGCACGAAAAGCUAGGGUAGCGAACGGGG
rnacentral:rRNA from 1 species